rnacentral:lncRNA from 1 species
AGAAGAAGGGAGCAGACUGGCCCCUAGCAGCUUGGAGUGUAGCAAGUGCUGCCGGAAGUUUUCCAACACGCGCCAGCUGCGAAAGCACAUCUGCAUCAUUGUGCUGAACCUGGGUGAAGAGGGAGAUGCAGGUAACGAGUCAGACCUUGAUCUAGAAAAGACAUACAAAGAAGAUGAUCGAGAAAAAACUUCAAAAAGACCCCGGGCUCAGAAAACAGAGAAAGUCCAGAAGAUCUCAGGAAAAGAGGCAGGGCAGCUUUCUGGAGCGAAGAAACCUAUCAUCAGCGUGGUCUUAACUGCUCAUGAAGCAAUUCCAGGUUAGGUCCCACCCAGUUGAAGAUCUUCACUUGUGAAUACUGCAACAAGGUGUUCAAGUUCAAGCACUCACUGCAGGCCCACUUGAGGAUCCACACUAAUGAGAAGCCAUACAAGUGCUCCCAGUGC